CUGACCACACAUACUCGCUGCCUGCUUGUCCCAAGGCUAUACGUGCAAAACUCCAAGAAGCCUCAGCAAGAGUGAGGAAACUGCAGAGGGAGAAGUCAAAUGCCUUGGCAAGAGAAAGGAGGGCUAAGAAAAACAUGCUGUCUCUUCUGGAGGAACUUAAGGAGAAAAAUCUAAUCAAUGAAGAGCUAAAAGACAAGCUUAAUUGCUACUCGGAUCUUCCAGUUCACCUCUUUUCAAGGCAGGGUGUGGAGUACACUAAGGCCCAGAGAGAUUUUGCCCUUACGCUCCACCUCCAUGGCCCAAAAGCCUAUCAUUAUCUGAGAGAGACUC